AAAUAUUAGUACUAAUAUAUCUUCGAAACUCCUUGAUAAAAUUCUAUGAUCAUUGCUUGUGUAUCAUCUUUUGGUAAAAUGGUGUUCAAUCUAACGUUGAAGGUAAAGAUGAACUAAAACGCUGGGGGGGGAGCCUAUAUAUAUACUCAAUACCGUUGGGAAGAUAACGCUAUCUCGUCGCUUAAACGUGUAAUAUUGCAGAUGCCGGGGUUUGAUAAGUAUGCAAAAUAAAGCUGCACGAGAUGAAAAGUAAUUUUCAUAAAUCUAAAGUAAAAAAUAACUUUAUUUACCAUCGGUCAAACUGGGUAUUAACUAAAAGAAGCCACAGGUUUUGCCGAGAUUCUCAUAAAAUAGUCAAUUUUAUUCAUAAUAGUAAGCGCUUCCGAAGUUUAAUGAUUUAAUUCGAAGUAUUGCUAGAGUACGUGCAUGAGAUCGUUAUGCAAACCUUUCAUAUGCGGUUCUGAUUAAACAUAGUAAAUGCGAAAUCUUACCCUUCUUACAAAGAAUUACGUCUUGAAGACAAAAACUUGGGAUGACGCUUGGAUGUAUCGCGUGGAGAAAGAAUAUCAUCUAAUUUGUGAGAUGUCUUCAAUUUUUCGACAUACUCUUUUCCGUAAUUGUAGCCGACGUUAUAGAUUUUUUCGAAACUUCCAAAUUCCAAAGUCGGAAAAUCUUUAACAGGAGGUCGCAUGUAAAAGCAUCCAGGCAUCGAUUUUACCUUUUCACCUGUCGCAACACUAGUAACAUAAGUAAGGCGAGAUUGAAUUUCAGCCAAUGAAGGAAACGAUGUUUUAGGAAUAAAUGGAAUCCAUCGAGAAAUCAGGGCCCAAACACCGGACACUGUGUCUCCAUAAUGCAUUGGCUCGCGGGAAUCUUCACUACCUACAUCAAUGGCAAAGAUUGAGCUCGCACCUAAUGAUUGCAUAUGAGAGACUGUCAAGUUAUCCAUAUAACCACCGUCUAAAAGCAUGUCCCCACUAUCCGAAAGCAUGGGAGGGACGAGGCCUGCAAGCGACAUACUAGCCCUAAUGUAUCUCCACGCAUAACCACUCGAGUGGAUGUCCAUGCGAGAAUGGGUAAUAUUAGUGGUAUUGGCGUAGAACGGUAACCAAAAGUCUUCAAUAUGUAUCUCCCCAAAAGUCUUCCAUAUACCACGAUUAAAUUCAUGCCCAGUGGUAUACGCUGCUUGUGGAUACGUUACAUCCAGUACAAAUCGCCAUAGGUUCGCCAUACGUCCGCAAAAUUUCUUUGCUCUACCAAACAUCGGGACCAGAUCCGCCUCCCAUGCGUACAGACCACCAUUAAAGGCUCCAAUACUGGUUCCUCCAAUAAUGUCAAAUGGAAUUCCAGCUUCCUCUAACGCAUAUAGAAUGCCGAUUUGCGAAAUGCCUCUAGCUCCACCCCCACCAAGAACAAGUGCAAUGGCUUUUCCACAAAUCCUUCUGGCUAGACGAGCAAAAUCGCUGUCUUGGGCACGAUUCGCUUGGUACACCGGAUGCAAGUGCUUCCAAUCAAUGUACUUUCGAAAGCCAUAAUGCAAAUUUUGUACUUUUGCUCGUAUAAUGUUUAAAAAUACCUUAGCCUCAUUAUUUUGGGAUAUUUCGUUAUCAAGUCCAAUGCGUAGUUGGACAUGGUGAUGGGCAUAAACCCAAGGUCGUUCUUUCAACCAUAGUCUUGUCAAGCCUGAUGGGCAAAAUCUUUCGGGGUGAAGCAAGACUAACUCCUUUCUAGCAGUUGACUUCAUAGCAAUAAGAUGUUGCUCAUAUUCUCCAAUAUUUGGAUUUUGAUCGGCUUCAGCAAGAAUGUAGAUACAGUCAGCCUGCCUGAUGCAAGUUUGCAACCAAGCGCUGCCCACACCAGAAUCAGCGACGUAUAUUAGUAUAUCAUAUUUGUCUUCGAGAUCACUUAGGUAACUUGAAAGCUUAAAUCUGCCCAUACGACUAAAUGCAUGUUUUCCCAAAUGCUCUAAAACCGAAGAUUGUCUAAGUACCUUCACCGACUUUCCCAUAACAGACAGCACAGAAGUAAGCUUUUGAGAGAAAAGAAUGAGCAAACCUGUGGAUGAAGAAGGGACUAUAGCUAGAGUUCUAAUGCUGUGUUUUUCAUGUGGUUGAUGUUGCAUUCCAUCCAUAGAUUUGUUAUUAAGAAGCAAAUUCAUUCUGUUUGCAAUAAUUUUUGACAACUGUAAACCAACAGCAGGAUGACUUAAAGACAAAGCAUUAAAAAGGGUUUCGGGAAUUUUAGCCAACUCAGAAUCACGAAUGGCAAAAAGGGUACUACUUCUGCGAUUAUUUAAUAGCAUUUCUAGUUCUCCCACACUGUCUCCUUUUCCAUACUCGUUAAAGUAAUCCACUUGAGUUCUAGCGCUUCCGCGUUCAUCCUCAAUUGAACGCAAACGUCCGUUUAAAACCACAUAAACGCAAUCACUGGGAUCGUUCUUUUCAUAAACAACUUGAUCAGGGUUAAGAUGUAUCCAACCGACAGCAAAAUCUAAUUUCAAAAGUAAUGAUGGUACUAAUGAGAUAAGCCUUUUUGCAAUUGUUAGGGAUAUUAAUGGCUCUUGAUCAAUUAUCCUUUCCAAACAAGAACGAGGUAGAAAUCCAACGAGAACAUCUGAUCUAGCCGUAACGUUAAUGAAAGAACGAUAAUUGGAAACACAAGCCUGAUAAUUAACGAUUCCACCAGGUUUAAUCAUAAAAGAAUGCAUUCCUAAAUCUGUAUCAUAAGAGGUACUAAAAGUUAAUUUGGAAGGGCAAGUAGCAUCCAAAAAUCCGUCAAUAAUAUAGUACAGGCCAUCUGCAUGAUCCCCUUGUCUAACAAUAGUCGUCCCUUUUUUGUAAAAGAUGAUUUCAAUCUCUUUAGCAAAUUCAAGGAUAGUAGAUUUCUUCGUACUAACUACGAUUGAACUCUUUACUUCUUCUCUAUCCGUAGCACUCAUCAUCGCAAUUUGGCCAAGAAAAUCCACCUUCUUCAAAGAAUCAGAAUCACCUUCAGAUGAGUCAUUUUCAGUGCACAGAUCAUCGUUGUCUUCUUUUAGUUCAUAAUUGAAAACACCCAAAGACUUAAAGAUGCACUGUAAUAAGCCGUCUCGGAAAGAGGCUGAGAUAUCGUAAUCUCCAACUUCUCUAGAAUAUGAUCGAUUUAGAGGAAAUUUUCUCAAUGGACCCACCGAGGUUGAAAGAAGUGUUGAAUGAGGAUUUGUGGAAGAAAGUAAAUCACCUGCAUUUGCUGUUGAACGAUCAAUAUCGGAAACAAAGUUACCAUGCUCUUUGUCAAAAGCUUUGCUAAAGUAUUGAUUGGAAAGUCUAGACUGAGCUCCUUUGCUUCUUAAAACUAUGAAACUCUCAUUUGAUGCUUGGGAAAGAUGUUCAGACAUUGCUUCCUUCUUGAAAUCAUCAAUAAUAUCGCUGCGAAUAUAAUUAGGUAACUCAUACGCAGUGAGAGAAUUAAAAUUUUUCUCAAUACUGAAUAUGGCAUCAGAUAAGCCUAAAUAUUCAUACCCUGUUGAAAAAGUUACACGUUGAAAUCGAGUUAAAAUUACUUGGACAAUUUGAGCACUGGAGUUAGGAAAUUUGUGAACCAAGUGAUGAAAUGCAUUAGCAGGAAUGACGGCAAUAGUGGUAUCAAUUUUCGCUUUGGCAAUAAUACGAGCUUUUUUGGGUUGUGGCAUAUGCGGUUUGCUAGCAUUGUUAGCACCAGCUUCUGUAGUAGUGCUACUGCCAGGUCUUAGUGAACUAGUGGUAGACUUGAACGGAUUCUCUUUACUAGUAGCUUCGGGAAUUAAUUCUGUAAAAAGUUCCAGAACUGUGAAAAAGCUUGAAAGUGGAGCACCAUUGGAUACCUCUGUUAGUAGUCUAUAUUCUGGUUGACCAGCUUCUUCAACAACCUCUGCGGAGUCCUUUUCUGGCGCAGUAAAUACUUGAAAGCAACCAUCAACCACCAGUAUAAAGGAUGAUUGUUCGCCAAGGUAAAUUGUAUUACCUUCAGCUACACGUUGGGUUCGGAUAUGUCUAGCUAACUCAACAAAAACAGGUUUCUCCAGGUAACCAAAAAUACUGAUAGCACUUAGAAACUAAAGGGGUUAGCUAAAUCAUGAAAUUUUAAAAGAAACUUUACAAAAAAGGCAUACUUCGUCGAGAUAAUUCUGAAAUCCAAUUCUUGGUUCUGACGGCCUUAUGUUGGUAUCAGGACCCAAUUUGGCUUCCUUAAUAGGUGCUUCAUGAGGAAGCCUUGCAUAUUUAUUGAGAUAUCUAUAUCGAACGACAAGGAUUACGACACAUAUUGAAACGAAAAACAAGAACAACCUGAUUGUAAGUAAUGAAUUAAAAAAAAUGUUACUUCAAAGAGAC
rnacentral:lncRNA from 1 species